AUCCCUCUGAACCGCCCGAAAAUUCUUUAACUUCGCUGUUGGUCGAAUUCGAGCUGUACAAGUGGCGUGGCUCCGACACAGAGGUAAAGAAUUUCUCUCCAUCAUCCGAAGACCAGAGUCAGAUGUGCGAACCCUCCUCCAAAUCCACAGAGCCAUAGAGACCAUCAAUUGAUCAUUAGUGGAAUAGAGAAAGAACGAUUCCCAAAAUCAAACUCCAUAGAGACCAUCAAUUGAUCAUUAGUGGAAUAGAGAAAGAACGAUUCCCAAAAUCAAACUGUUCAUAUUAGAGAGCUUGAGUAAAAAGUGAAACUUCUUAACAACCUUUCGCUU